GUUGUAUGGUUAAGUGACUAAGCGUACACGGUGGAUGCCUUGGCAGUCAGAGGCGAUGAAGGACGUACUAACCUGCGAAAAGCUAUGGGGAGCCGGUAAGAGGCGCUGAACCGUAGAUAUCCGAAUGGGGAAACCCAGUGAGUUUACUCACUAUCCUUAACUGAAUACAUAGGUUAAGGAGGCAAACCGGGAGAACUGAAACAUCUAAGUACCCCGAGGAAAAGAAAUCAACCGAGAUUCCGUUAGUAGCGGCGAGCGAACGCGGACUAGCCCUUAAGCUAGAUUGGUGUUAGUGGAAUCAUCUGGAAAGCUGAGCGAUACAGGGUGAUAGCCCCGUACACGACAACACCUUUAUAGUGAAAACGAGUAGGACGGGACACGUGGUAUCCUGUUUGAAGGUGGGGGGACCAUCCUCCAAGGCUAAAUACUCCUGACUGACCGAUAGUGAACCAGUACCGUGAGGGAAAGGCGAAAAGAACCUCUGUAAGAGGAGUGAAAUAGAACCUGAAACCGUGUACGUACAAGCAGUGGGAGCCCACUUUGUUGGGUGACUGCGUACCUUUUGUAUAAUGGGUCAGCGACUUACAUUCUGUAGCGAGGUUAACCGAAUAGGGGAGCCGUAGGGAAACCGAGUCUUAACUGGGCGAAUAGUUGCAGGGUGUAGACCCGAAACCGGGCGAUCUAGCCAUGAGCAGGUUGAAGAUUGGGUAACACUAAUUGGAGGACCGAACCCACUACUGUUGAAAAAGUAGGGGAUGACUUGUGGCUUGGAGUGAAAGGCUAAUCAAGCUCGGAGAUAUCUGGUUCUCCUCGAAAGCUAUUUAGGUAGCGCCUCGAGCGAAUACCACCGGGGGUAGAGCACUGUUUGGGCUAGGGGGUCAUCCCGACUUACCAACCCCAUGCAAACUCCGAAUACCGGUGAGUACUACUCGGGAGACACACGGCGGGUGCUAACGUCCGUCGUGAAAAGGGAAACAACCCAGACCGCCAGCUAAGGUCCCAAAGUGAUGAUUAAGUGGAAAACGAUGUGGGAAGGCAUAGACAGCUAGGAGGUUGGCUUAGAAGCAGCCAUCCUUUAAAGAAAGCGUAAUAGCUCACUAGUCGAGUCGGCCUGCGCGGAAGAUGUAACGGGGCUAAAAUCAUCCACCGAAGCUGCGGAUUCAUCCUAUGGAUGAGUGGUAGAGGAGCGUUCUGUAAGCCUGCGAAGGUGUGCCGGGAGGCAUGCUGGAGGUAUCAGAAGUGCGAAUGCUGACAUGAGUAACGAUAAGGGGAGUGAAAAACUUCCCCGCCGAAAGACCAAGGGUUCCUAUCCCAUGCUAAUCAGGGUAGGGUGAGUCGGCCCCUAAGGCGAGGCUGAAAGGCGUAGUCGAUGGGAAACGGGUUAAUAUUCCCGUACCGGCCAAUACUGCGAUGGGGGGACGGAGAAAGCUAGGCAAGCGCGGCGUUGGUAGUCC
rnacentral:rRNA from 1 species